rnacentral:misc_RNA from 1 species
GCCGAUCGUCGACGAAGAACAUCUAUAUUUUUCCCACAGCGAAGGUUGUUUUGACGGAUGAUGGUGGUGGCUCAAAAUUAACGAGAAGGAUGGCAGCGCCCAUUGCAGUUUUUGACGAGAAUGAAGACCAGGAUUGCGAAGAAUGGCCAGAAUUCAUUGAUUAUAGAACUUCCUCAGACAUAGUUAAUUCCAAUGGAGAUGUAUAUUCUGAUUUUUCAUCCAAAGAGGAAAUAAACGUGGACAAUUUUUCCGAAAUGCGAUCGGAUUCCAUUGAAGAUCUUGUGAACAAUUUCGACGAUAAGUUGGCGAGUUGUUUCAGAAAUUUCAAUUUAAACACCGACAGAUUUGCACCUGUCAAAAUCUUGUCACAAGAGGAAAUUAUGAAAAAUUGCAAAUUAUGGAAGAAAGUAACAGACAAUUUUGGACAAGUCAUGCCUCUUGAUUGGUCAACAUCACGGACAAGAGCGAAGCAACUCCCGGCACUCAAUCUGAAACCUAAUAGGCCGGCAGACACCACCACAAACUUGGACCUUCCUGAUGACGAGGAUCUUGCGGAAAGCUUUGACAUGCAUUCAAUGAUCUUAACGUCGGUUCACAAUGACAACAACGAUGUCCCUGUCCUUACCGCAGAUCAGGUCAUUGAGGAAAUUGAUGAAAUUUUCAAGGAGUCUCAGUCUGAGUCAUCAUUAGAUGAGAAGGCAGAUGAGGAUAUUUUGUCAACCAUAUCAGAUGAGCUUCAGGUGCUACGAGAAAGGUCAAUGACAACCAGUAGUUAUGAGGAGAGCAAGGCUGCACAAGAUGGAUGGCAAGAACUGAAGACCAUGUCAUUGCAAGCGUUGAACGAACUGCUGGAGGAACUUGACCAAACUAUUAAGGACUAUUCACAAGUGUUGGUGCACGACCUCGCCCUUCGGGAAGAACUAGAGUUUGAAAAAGAGAUGAAGAACCAGUUUAUUUCUGCGUUGGUAAAGGUACAGAAUAAACAGAAGUCGCUGAAGGUAAAAAAACAGGGCAAGAAAGGAAAGAACGGUGUGGAACCUGGCCUUUAUCUAACCACAAGAAUACCAUACAAUAAGCCAAGAGGACCACCAAACAUUCAGACAUUACAGAUUGUCACCAAAAUUCUCCGAGCAAUGGAUGAAGACAGUAAAGAAGUGCCAGAUCUUCUUACCAAUUAUAUACUCAAAGUAUUGUGUCCGACGUAGAAGUUUUGAAGUGAUGUCAUGAAAACUUGUUUCCAUGGUAGCAAGGUCAAAUAUCAACCAUACAUUGUCAAAACUUUUUGUCUUCAAGUCUUUAUUGUGUGCUAAAGUCUACGGUCAGCUUUUCAAUAACCAAAUAAAAAUGUAUUGUUUUUUUCUCCGAAAAGAAUUUUAAUAGCAACAAAUUGUAUGUAGAAAUAUCAAACCAUGUUAGUGAAGCUUAAAAUUUGGUUAUUUUUAUAUAUUUUGCAGAAAAGUGAAAUUUUUUCCCGAGCUAAUUUUUGCAAAGCCUUAAAGUAAUUACAACAAAAAAUAAUUUCAGCAUAAAAAGACCCUUGUAAAUAUUUUUGUAGCACUGUUUAGCCUAGGUGUUCUAACAAGCUUGGCUCAGUCACAUUUGGAUUUAAGUAGUUUUACCAUGCUCCUUUGCUGUAUUUGUUUGGUAUGUUAUAGACAGCCAUGUAAAAUUCAACCCUAGCAAAAAACAAAUUACAUCUUGGAAAGACAAAAUAGGAAAAGACUAACAGAUUAAUUUAGAAAGUUCAUGGAGAUUCUUCAGUGAUCUCAUAUAAGAACUAAACAAAGUAUAUCUGAUUUAUUCCCUUAUUGGCUCAUUUUUGUAACAGAGGCACAAUUCUCAGAGAGAUGUCCUACAAAACAAUUUUAAAUAUAAAGAUAAACUGAUGUAGAGUAGAACAUGUUUAGCCGUUACUUAUUUAUAUGCAUAUUUUAAUCCAUUUUAUGAAUUUUUGAGGCCACAAUUUUAAUAGUGAUCAGCAAACUGAAUUUUUAUUAGAUCUUUUAAAAGUUGUCCAAAACCCACAUCAUCAGGAUAGUCUGUCGUAGAUUAUAGAUUCUUAGUUUUACCUUGAGUUUGUGUUCUUUUUAAAUUUCUUCAAACAUUACCGCCCAAUUUUGAAAUAGCUUUAAUGAAUAAGAAUAAUCUGUAGCUGUGGUAACCAAAGUGUAAUUCCCCUUUUAGAUGCUGCUUCUAAUAUUUUCGAACUAUUAGACGCAUUUGAUAUUUCAUAAAUUCCUAAUAGUGUAGUAUUGUAUUCAUUAUGGAUAAUCUAACAUUGUUAAUACUGGUAUUAUUGGUACUUUAUUUUUUGUCCUGUUUAAUCAUCUAUAUUGUAAAAAGUGUAACUGCAACAUAAUAUGGAUACAUAACUAUGUUUUUUGUGUGUAGAGUUAGAUUGAACUUUUACCACUGUAUACGUCAUACUGCACUAGCCUCAAAGUUGUCAUCAAUUAGAUUCCGAGUCUUUCUCAGCUACUAACUCCAAAGUCAUACUCAACUUGGCCGUAAAUUUUAUUCAAGUGUUACUUGGCUAGGUUCCAGGUAUUACCUAGCUAAGUUCCAACUUCUUACUAAAGUAAAGAGUUACUAAAUUCCAGGACUUAAUUACCUAGUUUCCAAUUCUCAACUGAAGACUUUCCUCAACUCUGAAGUCUUAUUAGGCUAGGUCUUACUCAACUGGUUCCAAGUCUUACUGAACUAGGUUCCAAGUCUUACUCAACUAGGUUGCAAAUUCUUACUCAACUAGGUUCCAAGUCUUACUUAACUGGGUUCCAAGUCUUACUCAACUAGGUUCCAAGUCCUACUCAACUAGGUUCCAAGUCCUACUCAACUGGGUUCCAAGUCUUACUCAACUGGGUUCCAAGUCUUACUAGGUUCCAAGUCCUACUCAACUAGGUUCCAAGUCCUACUCAACUGGGUUCCAAGUCCUACUCAACUGGGUUCCACGUUUUACUCAACUAUGUUCCAAGUCCUACUUAACUAGGUUCCAAGUCUUACUUCACUAUCUUUUAAGCCCUAAUCUGCUAUGCCUUAGGGGAAUAGCAUCUAACGGGAACUGACAUGAGUGAGACUCAACAAGAUUUUUACAUUUCUAACUCAAAUUCAUACUGAAUGUAGUUUGAACAUGGUAGUAUUACUCAAGAAUUCAUUCAAGUUAUGACAAAUCAUUAGUUCUAGAAAAAAAAUCAUAGUGGUAUUGACACUUUCAAUGGCUGUGUUUAAAAUUAACAGAGAGGCAAAACAGUAGAUAACCACAAUGAAUGGUUGGUAAUGAAUUUUGUAUUAUUGUAUGUGAGAAAAAAAAAUGUCGGACUAAUCAAUAAGAGGAUAAUUAACCAAUUAAUCUUGCAGUGGAUGUAAUUGAGUGGUUUUGCUACACAUUACAUUUUAGCAUCAAUAGCAACAUUGCACAUUAGUGUAUGAAGUGCGCAAUUGAUUAUAGGUACAUGUUCAUGUUUAGAAUAAUAUAUAAUUAUUAGUAGUUGUUAAUGUUACAGUGAGAACUAAAUUUGUAGUGAUUUAAUUGUGCAAUCAUAAAAAAUGACUUCCCUGUCAAGAAUCUGAGACUAUUUUAUUCAAAUUGUAUCUACUCUCUCCAUCAGUUUGUACAAAGUCAAUUUUAUAAUGUGAGGUAGAUGCUGAGAUUAAAAGUUAUUCGAUUUUAAUUUCAUGAAAUUCCAAUUCAAAAAAUAAUGAAAAAACUCGUGUUAUGUUAUUUGCUUACAUUUAUGUUUUUAUAUUUUAAUAUUGUUUUCCUCUUAUGAAAUUUUAAGGUUUUACAGAACAUAUUUAUUUAUCAUCUGGAAUUUCAAACUACAUUCUCGAAAUGUGAAUCUUAAUAAAUUUUAAUAUUAUAUAUGAAGACUUAAUUUUAAGUUGGUGCUCUGUAAAUACUGGUACUAGUUGAUUUUGUUGGAAACAAGAUUCUUCUCAUGUAUUUGAGAAGCAAUGAAUAACCAAAGAGCAUAUUAAUCUCAAUGAAUAAUAAGUUAUUUUAUAUCCAUUAUCCAUUUAUUAUAAUAAUUUUUGUUUUAUUAUUUUGAUUUUAAGAAAAUAUUUCUUGGAUAUCGUGAAAUAGUAUUACUCCACACUUGGAUCAGUGUGUUGUAGGAUUAUUUAUAUUUUACAUUAAUGUAAUGUAAUAUUCUGAACAUAGCCAAUGUAUAAAACAUAAUUCUGUUACAUUGUAGCUUAAUGGAUCUUGUCAAAUUUGACAAAUGACCAAUCAGAACAGAUCCAGGAAUAUGCAUGUCCUACAAACGUACACGCUGUCCCAUAAAUAUACGUAUAAUCACAUCGUUUUAUGGGUCUUUAGCAACACAAUAUCCAAGUAGCCGCGCUUAACAGAAGGGCUCUUGGUUAUUUCAGUAUUAUUUCUUUGAUUUCAUAAUUUUAAAUACUAUUUCUUUUAAUGUUUUAUAUUUCUUUUAUAAGGAAAUUUUAACUUAAAAAUGUGCAUUUUAUCACAGUAUUGCUUCGAUGAUUCUUAAUUUUAUACUAUUAUAUUACUUUUUUUUGUAGUACUGUUUUUUAGGAUGUGCAUUUUUUUUUUCUGCUUAGAUUUUUUUUACUAAUUUUUUUAUUGAAUGCCACACAAUAUUGUUCUCUCAUAGAAUACUAUUCAAACCUAAAUACUGUACACCUAAAAUAAUUGAUCAUGUUUGUAGUAGUAAGAUGAUGUUAAAUAGUUGGUAUGUUACUACAAAAAUCGGCAAAAUAAUUAUCAUUUACUUUCAUGUUUUGUUAAGGGAUACAAAUAUGUUCUGAAAACCAACUUUUUGAUGGAGUUUUUUAUUGGGUACUUAAAAAAACGUUAGGUAAAGUGGUGCUUGAGAUUUUGUAUGUAUACAAAAUUUCAUAUAUUUCAUUUUAUUUGUUCCAAAAUAAAAACUCAAUAUAUACAAUAUGGCAUGAUAUGCCGAGCAAAAGUUAGAAAAAAUCACUGUCGCUAACGUGGCGGUCUGCUUCAGUACCAAACACAUACAAUAACGUAACACACUGCCAAUCGAAAAUCAGCAUACUAUUGUUAUGUUGAACUGAUUAAUUAGCAUAAUAAUAUGGCAGUAUUGUAUACUUUUAGUACAGAGAAGCUGUAAUACUUUUACUCAUAUCUUUGGCAAUAGUAAGUCGAUUACAGUAAAUGACACAUCAUUUUAAAGCUUAAAAUGUAGAGAAUAAGAAAGUAUUAAAAAGUUAAUUUCUAUUUUUUUUUUGCCACUGAUGCUAGUUUUUGGAUGGCAACCUUCAUAAUAUUUGUCACAAAAUUUUAUUUUUUAGUUUAUAAUUGACCAUUCUAUAUUUGGUUAUCUUCAAGGAGAACCUUAAAUAUUUAUCAAACUACUAUUUGUGUUAUAUGUUUUAAUAGUUGGUUAGAAAGAGCCGGGGUUAGUACUAGUGAAGGGAAAAGUAUUGUUUUAUUGGCGCUUGUAAAAUUGACUGAAUGUUUUUACUCUCCAAGUGCAAUCACAGACUAAAAGAUAGACAUCAGUAAAAUAUUGUAUAAGGUGUAGAUAGUUUUAAUUGUAAGAAAAAAAAAAAGCAAAGUCGUUCAUAUUUUGAUAGUAUAUAAGAGAGAUUGUCGGAAGAUUGCCAUGAAUUGGAUUGUAGAGUUCUUAAACUUUGUCCAGUUUAUCAAAUUUUCUUUGUAUGCCUAUAUAUGGUCAUGAUGUAAUGUCAUCAUGACCAUAUUUGGGAAUGUCGUAUGUUUUUGUCAAAUAAAAUUUGAUAGUCUGGGCAGGGCGUCAAUUAUCGUGUUUGAAGUUGAGGUACAAAGUGUAAUUGACUUCAUUUCCGAGGCUGAGAAUUGUUGCACAUGUCAGGGUAGUGAGUUGUACUUAAGCCUCCAACCAAGGUUCGAAGAGCAUUUCUAAUAUUGCUUUGAGGGAGCUUUUGAUUGAGCAACAACGUAAAGAUCCAAAACAAAAUCAUAUCACUUAAAACCAUCUGCGCAUGUUAAGACCUUGAGUUCUUAUCGUCCUCUGUGCAAAGAACACAGAAUGGUCACGGAUGAGUGUCUGCUCAAAGAAUUGCACAAUCGAAAGCUUCUUCCAAUUAUGAUUAAUAUACAGGUAUGUUGAUAAGUUAAAUUUUGCCCAACUUAAUUUUUUUAGCUUUGUUUACAUGCAAGCUACACCAUUCAUCUUUUUUGCAGUUUUUUUUUUACAAAAUUUUGGUACAGAGAUAGAGAUAUAAUCAUAUGUAUCUACUACACAUCUUUCUUUGUGAUAAUAUUGUUGCUGUCAAUGUUUAUUACUGCUAGUGUUAUGAAAAAAAAAUUGAAAAAUUCCAGUCUAAAAUUAGGCCUACUUUAAAUUUUAAUCUUUUAAUUCACAUAUUUUACAAUACUUUGACACUGAUUUUGCAUCUGUUUCAGUAAUGUGUGCCAUCAAUUCCAUCCAUACAAAACCCAUAGAAUAUAGAUAUUCAUUUAAUAUGCACUGUAUCAUUCUGACAUUCUAUUAAAUAUGAAUAGCACCAAGAACAAUAUCACAUUAAACCAUGGUGUAAUUAAGAGCAGGAUAGCAAAUUUUACCUUUGUUCUUGAUUAAGUCGGCAAAUAUAUCCACAUACUUUUUUUUGUGAUGCUUAAUUUGAGUAUGACAACUCACUAUUGAUAUUGGUAAUAAGCAAUUUGCCAUGCUACUUUCAAAUGAGUUUCCCAGUCACUACAUCAUGUAGGGCUAUGCUUUUAAAAGCUCUCAUAAAUCACCUUAGUCGCAAAAUGCGUCGAUAAAGGCUCAAUCUCCAGAUGUGUUAAUGAAAUGGAUGUACGCCGACAUCAUCAUAGUGAUAGAAAAUAAAUCCAAAUGAAACAGCAGGUUGAUACGAGCAGGGACGUGUUUUAGCAUAUUUCUCGUACGAGGGAUAUAUUUCGCCUUUGUGCAAUAUUGUUGCAUGAAUUGUAAACUAAACUGUAGACUUCAAUUGUACAUGUUGUGAGGUUUGAUUUUUUGAACAAUGAUUUCAGCUCGUAGACAAUUUUAAUAAUAUACCGAGUAAAUGUAAACAACUUGUAUUCUCCACCAUUCAUGUGCACACCAAUUGAUAAGUAAACUAGAUUACGUGUCUGUGUAUCAGUUGGUCUUCUGUAUCAAUAAAUUGUCUAAAGAUAAA